rnacentral:rRNA from 1 species
GACGAACGCUGGCGGCGUGCUUAACACAUGCAAGUCGAACGGAAAGGCCCUGCUUUUGUGGGGUGCUCGAGUGGCGAACGGGUGAGUAACACGUGAGUAACCUGCCCUUGACUUUGGGAUAACUUCAGGAAACUGGGGCUAAUACCGGAUAGGAGCUCCUGCUGCAUGGUGGGGGUUGGAAAGUUUCGGCGGUUGGGGAUGGACUCGCGGCUUAUCAGCUUGUUGGUGGGGUAGUGGCUUACCAAGGCUUUGACGGGUAGCCGGCCUGUGAGGGUGACCGGCCACAUUGGGACUGAGAUACGGCCCAGACUCCUACGGGAGGCAGCAGUGGGGAAUAUUGCACAAUGGGCGGAAGCCUGAUGCAGAAACGCCGGGUGCGGGAUGACGGCCUUCGGGUUGUAAACCGCUUUCGCCUGUGACGAAGCGUGAGUGACGGUAAUGGGUAAAGAAGCACCGGCUAACUACGUG